rnacentral:rRNA from 1 species
UAGGGAAUCUUCGGCAAUGGGGGGAACCCUGACCGAGCAACGCCGCGUGAGUGAAGAAGUUUUUCGGAUCGUAAAGCUCUGUUGUUAAGGAAGAACGAGUGUGAGAAUGGAAAGUUCAUGCUGUGACGGUACUUAACCAGAAAGGGACGGCUAACUACGUGCCAGCAGCCGCGGUAAUACGUAGGUCCCGAGCGUUGUCCGGAUUUAUUGGGCGUAAAGCGAGCGCAGGCGGUUAGAAAAGUCUGAAGUGAAAGGCAGUGGCUCAACCAUUGUAGGCUUUGGAAACUGUUUAACUUGAGUGCAGAAGGGGAGAGUGGAAGUCCAUGUGUAGCGGUGAAAUGCGUAGAUAUAUGGAGGAACACCGGUGGCGAAAGCGGCUCUCUGGUCUGUAACUGACGCUGAGGCUCGAAAGCGUGGGGAGCGAACAGG